GAUGAACGCUGGCGGCGUGCUUAACACAUGCAAGUCGAACGGGAAUUACUUUAUUGAAACUUCGGUCGAUUUAAUUUAAUUCUAGUGGCGGACGGGUGAGUAACGCGUGGGUAACCUGCCUUAUACAGGGGGAUAACAGUCAGAAAUAGCUGCUAAUACCGCAUAAGCGCACAGAGCUGCAUGGCUCAGUGUGAAAAACUCCGGUGGUAUAAGAUGGACCCGCGUUGGAUUAGCUGGUUGGUGGGGUAACGGCCCACCAAGGCGACGAUCCAUAGCCGGCCUGGGAGGGUGAACGGCCACAUUGGGACUGAGACACGGCCCAGACUCCUACGGGAGGCAGCAGUGGGGGAUAUUGCACAAUGGGGGAAACCCUGAUGCAGCGACGCCGCGUGAAGGAAGAAGUAUCUCGGUAUGUAAACUUCUAUCAGCAGGGAAGAUAGUGACGGUACCUGACUAAGAAGCCCCGGCUAACUACGUGCCAGCCGCCGCAGUAA
rnacentral:rRNA from 1 species